CAGGAACAUCUCGGUCUUGCCAUGGUGCCCAGUCUCUGUCUGUCCACUCAGCACUUCUGUCCACAGCCCCACAGUUUAGUUUGCUGGUUGUUAGCAAUGUCAAGGAUAUGGAAAAGACCAGAGUCUAAAAGAGUGAGCAUUCAUGUACCUACCAUUAACCUUAAAGACAUUUGCCUUAUUUUUAGGUAGGAGGAAUAGAAUAAAUAAAAUAAAUGCUACAAAUUCUAUUGACACCGCCUCUGCAACAUUUCAUACCCCUGCCCUCAGUAUCAAUAGCCUUUCUCCAUAUUUUUAUACUUUACUACAUAGAUAAAUUCCCAUGAGCAAUAAACAAUAUUGGUUUUGUGUAACUUUUACUUACAUGGUGCUACUUUUACAUAUCUCUUUGCUCCUUAUUUUUGUUUGUUUUUAAUUCAAUACUAGCUUUGAGGAUUAUCCUGUAUGGAGCUAGCAUAGAGAUUUUAAACUCUGGGACCCUAGUUUAAGCUGUAUAAUUAUUUGGGGAGGGGGACUGUUCUAUGCAUGUAGGAUGUUUAAGCAGCAUCCCUGACCUCUGCCCACCAGAGGCCAGUAGGACCCACACUGUCCUGGCAACCAGAGAUGUCUCCAGACACUGCCCAAUGUCCCUGGGGGCAAAGUCACCCCUGGUGGAGAACAGAUCUGGUUCAUUCACUUUCUUGACUUUAGUUCUCUGCUGAAUGAAACCCCACAUAUCUUUAAUCCAGUCACAUGUCCACUGAUGUUAGAUUGUUGCUAAUGUUCUACUGUUACAACCAUAAUGCUGAGAGCAUCUUGCCCUUCUGAACACAUUUAUAAUGGGUUCUUUUUCAUUUAAAACAAAUAUGAAAUGACCAGAGGUAGGCAGAUUAGUAUAAUGCAUCUUGUGUAUCCAUUGUUAAGUUGAAUUAUCAUUAAUCCUGAUUAAUAUUUUUGAAGUUACCCAUACCUACUUCCCCUUCUGCAUUAUUUUGAAUCAAAUACUGAGUGUUAGUUUAUCUACAGAUAUCUCAGUGUGUAUAUGUGUCGGGGGGGUAUUAAAAAUAAGAAAAUAUAAGUAUGAUAUCAUUGUCAUUCCUCCAUUACCUAUAAUUCCUUUGUUGCAUCAAAUAUCAGUGUUCAAAUUUACUGUCUCAUAAUUUUUUAUAGUUUUUUGAAUCACAAGGUCAAGUGUUAUAUUGGUCAUGUCUCUUAAUGUUUUUUUUUAUUGUUUUAAAUGGUAGUAAAAUAUACAUAACAUAAAAUUCACCAUUUUAGCGAUUUUUAAGUGUACAGUUUUGUGGCAUUGGGCACAUUCAUGGUGUUGUGUCACCAUCACCACCGUCCAUCAUCUCCUGAACUUGGAGUUUCAUCUUCCCCAGCUGAAACCGUAUACUCAUUCCUCCCUCCAGUAACUCCCCAUUCCUCUCUCCCUCCAUUCCUCUCUCCCCCCAGUCCUGGAAAUCAUUCUCCUUGUUGUCUCUAUGAAUUUAAAUACUCUCUUAUAUUUCUUUUCAUUCUGUAGAGCCCUCUUUCAUCUCUUUCUUUAUAAUUUAUUUAUUGAACCCUGGGUCAUUUUAUCACCUGAUUGCAUCUCUAAUCAGUGCUAUUUGACAUGUUGCUCGGUUAACUGUAUUUCCUUACAUUAGCUUUUGAAUCUAGGAACUUAGAUUCAGGUUUAAUUUUGCUAAAAACAUAAUUCUUAUUGGAGUGAUGUUUUCUUUCAGGAAAUGCACAGAUCGCAAGAGCACA